rnacentral:piRNA from 1 species
UGACUGGUACCACUUUUGUGUUGUUUUGUGA